rnacentral:lncRNA from 1 species
UUCAGUAUGAGUAUAUAGAAGAGGACUUGUCCAACAAGAGUCCUUCGCUUCUCAAGUAUAACCCAGUCCAUAAGAAAAUCCCUGUGCUUUUGCAUAAGGGAAAGCCAGUUGCAGAGUCACUUGUAAUCCUGGAGUACAUUGAUGAGACCUGGAAACACAACCCCAUCUUGCCUGCAGACCCUUAUGAGAGGGCCAUGGCACGGUUCUGGGCUAAGUUCUUAGAUGAGAAGGUAAACCCAUUACUAUUUUUUUUUCCUUUUUUAUUUUAAAUUCACUUGGGUCCUGACUACUGUACAAUAUUAUGCAGCUCUGGCCGGCAGCAAAAAAGGUUGCGUUGAGUAAGGGAGAGGAGCAUAAUGGACUGAUUGAAGAAAUCCAGGAGCAUCUGAAAACUCUAGAGAGUGAGCUGAAAGAGAAGAAAUUCUUUGGAGGGGAGAGUUUGGGAUUUGUAGACAUAGCUGCAGACAUUAUAUUUUGGCUGCUUGUUGUCCAAGAAACUCUGGGACUCGAUAUCCUAACCGAAGAUAAGUUUCCCGGAUUGCAUGAAUGGUAUCAUAGGCUUCUUGAUGAUGCUGUUUUCAAGGAAUGUGUGUCAAUGGAGCGACUUCUUGCCUCUUUCAAAGUUCGGUUUGGAGCCUUGACUGCUUCCAAAUGAAGAGCGGGUUUAUUUGUGGAUGACUUCAUGGGAGAGGAAUCUUUCUUCUUGCACAUGUAUUUCAUAGUUAUGCAUUAUGAAGUAUUGUAAUGAACCUUGUCCUGUUUGUGGGAAUGAGAACUUAAAAAUAAGUUUGGAGAAGUAUUGCUCCAAAUGGCCUUAGGAAGAAGACUCAAACAUUGCCUCCUAAUUAAUAGGAAUUGAAUAUCCUAUGUUCAUCUACCUCUUGGUUAGAUUGAAUAAAGAUUUGGAUAUAGAAAUCCUUAUGACUGAGUCAUGGUUUGGUUCGGGGUUUAGUUCAGAGAUGAGAAUGUAAGUGGUAUGGGUAACAUUCAGCCUCAACUCCAUUCCUUUUAAGGUUUUCGAUUGGGUUUUCAUCCUCCCAUCAACGAAUGUAAAUCAAAUCUAAAAGUCAUUAUUUGAGGAAUUAUUUGGGUAAAUAAUCCCGACAGUCCAAUCAUCUCUCCCCAGCAUGAUGCUCCCCCAACAUUAUUGAAAUAUGUUUAACAUUUAUUAAAUGUUUAGUGAUGAAUUGGAGUGUGACAAUGAUGCUCUUUCCAAUAAAUAUUUCUCAAAAUUACCAUUUUUUUUUCAAAAAUCCUCCACCAACCCAUUAUAAAUGUAAGUAAUCAUACUAAAAUAAUAAUGCUAAUACAAUUGAAAUAAAAAAUAAAAUAUGAAUAAAUAAGUAACACAAUUUUAUUUUACUCUUUAGUCUAUAAUCUUUCUUCUUAAUAAUUAAAUAUUAUAAAUUUAUUAUUUAUUAAAAUAAAAAAUCUAAUAUAUUUAUAUUUUAUUUUUAUUGUGAUUUUAUAAUUCUUUUAAUUUUAGUAAUAUAUAAAUUAUAUAUUUAUAUUGUACAGUCAGUCACCUCGAUCCCACAUUUCAAGCAUAAACCAAUUAUUUAAAACAUAAUAUUGUUGGAUCAAAACAUCAAUUUUGAUCCAAAAUUCCUUUCUCCGAGAUUAACUGCCCAUGUGAAUGAUCUAAAGCGGUCAGGGAUAUAUCACGUGACCCAAAAAACGACAAAGGAAGGGACAGUGUCGACGGACAGUGCGGUGGCUCCUCUGCCAAAAAGUUGGUCACAGACUUUAAAAGGUAAGUUUUGGGGUAAAAUAACCCUUUUACAACAAAAAAAAACAAAAGAAUUUGGGAAACUGUGUUUUGACGGGCCAUUUGAAAAAUAUCUUAUUUUUGGAAUCCAAUUUUAUAAAAUAUGAUAACCAGAUUUUAAUAUGAAAAGUAAUAUUGCUUUUAUGCACUUUGACCUGGCUCCAUUUUUUUUGUCAAGAUUGCCCUCUGACGGCAAUGACCUCGACGGCAAUGGCUUUUGGCUUAGGUUUUUCGGUGUCGGAGGGGGCUUCCUUUUCGACUUUUUUCUUCAUGCUAGAGUGAGGAGUGAGGAGUGAGGAAGACGAAAGUGUCCUUGCCGUCGUUGUUGCUCCGGUGGAGGAAGUCGCAAAACUUCCACCGUUUUGAUGAUCAUGUGGAGUUGCUUUUCCUGCACCUUCCCGAUGGAGACUUCGCUACCUUGGGUUUCCACACACAGUACAUCCUCGACAGCACUCCCUCGAGCUCGUCGACCUCUGAUGACAAGGACACUCCAGGUCCAUUGCAGAUAAAAAAAAUAGGUUAUAGUGGUGACGAUGACAAUGGACUGAGUUGCGGCGACAAUAACCUUGACACAUCCAGAUUUUUCUCAAAUAUGAAAUAGAAUUUCAAUUGAAAAAUAUGCUUUUGAUAGAGGAGAGAGGAACGGCUUCGGAGGCCGACGAGCUCGAGGGAGUGCUAUCGGGGAUGUACUGUGUGUGGAAACCCAAGGCGGCGAAGUCUCCACCAAGAAGGUGCAGGAAAAACAACUCCACGGGAUCAUCGAAACGGUGGAAGUUCCGCAACUUUCUCCAUCGGAGCAACAGCGACGACAAGGACACUUUCGUCUUCCUCACUCCUCACUCCAGCAUGAAGAAAAAAGCCGAAAAGGAAGUCCCCUUGGGCGCUGAAAAACCUAAGUCAAAAGCCAUUACCGCCAAGGUCAUUGCCGCCGAAGGGCAUUCUUAGCACAAAAAAUGGAGCCAGCUCAAAGUGCAUAAAAGCAAUAUUACUUUCCAUAUUAAAAUUUGGUUCUCAUAUUUUAUAAAAUUGGGUUAUGAAAAUCAGAUAUUUUCCAAAUAGCCCCAUCAAAACACAAGUUUCCCAAAAAAAAUUAUAUAUAAGGUUAAGCCUUUUUACAAAAUUCAUGAUUUUAUUUUAAUUUUUUAAAAUUUAAGUUGAAACCUUGAUUAGAUUUCAGUUUUGGAUUGAAGCCGCAAUUAACAAUUAAGACUUCGUUUUUUAACUGAAGUUGUAAUUAGCAAUUGAUGCUUCAAUUUUUUUUCUUACUUUAAAAUUUAAUUUAAAAAUAUUAAAUUAAAAAUUAUUAUUAAAAUUAAAAAUAUAUAAUUUAAUAAUAAGAAAUUUAUAUACUUAAACUUAAAGAUUUAGUAUUACUUUAAUAAAGAUAAAUUGAUAAAUAUAAUAAUAAAUAAAUAUUUUAUUUAUCAAUAAAUUAAUAAUUUUAAAAUAAUAAAGUUAUAUGAGACAUAAAUAAUGUAUAAAUUUAUAUAAUUUAUUAAUUUAAUAUAUUAAAUUUAUUAUAUUUUUAAAAUAUAAAAUGAUAUAAUCUAUUAAUUUAAAUUACAUCACGUGUAGUACCUACUAAAAUCAUAGAGGGACAUUUUUUUCCAUUAUAUAUGAAAUAUUAAGAUUAUAUUAUUAUUUUAAUAAAGAUUAAUUUGUCAAAAUACAAAUAAAUUAAUAUCUUAAAAAUACAACAAAUUAAAUAUCUUAAAUUAAUAAAUUAUAUAAUUUAUAUCUUAUUUAUAUAUUAUAUAAUUUUAUUAUUUUAAGAUUAUUAAUUUAUUGAUAAAUAAAAUAUUUAUUUAUUAUUAUAUUUAACAAUUUAUAUAUUAGAUUGUUAUAUUUAAAUAUAUAACUUUUUUUUAUUAUUAAGUAUAUACUUUUAAUUUCAAUAAUAAUUUAUAAUUUAAUAUUUUUAAUUAAAAUUUAAAGUAAAAAAAAUUAACUGAAACCUUUAUUGAAAAUUGAGAUCUUAGUUAAAAAAUGAAAUCACAAUUAUCAAUUGUAACUUUAAUUUAAAAAUGAAAUCUCAAUUAACAAUUGAAAUUUCAACUUCAAAAUGAAGCCUCAAUUGAUAAUUGAAGUUUCAGUUUCAAAAUGAUGUCUCAGUUACUAAUUACUUUUUAAAAAUAAAGUAUCAUUUAACAAUUGAAACUUUAAUUUAAAUUUUGAUUAAAUAAAAUAAAAUAAAAUUAUGAUAUAUCUCUUAGUGAUGAUAAAAAGAUUAAUUUGAUCAUAAAGUUUUGCGGACGGGAUACACUAACAUUUCCUUUUAUAAAAGGGUUAUUUUGCACCCCCAAACUCUCAAAAGGCAUUGGCUGACGUCACCAAGUACAUUAUUGGGAUCCCAACCAGCCAUCCUAUCACACUCCACAUUAAAAUCUCCACAAAUCCAAGGUCCAGGACGGCACCUGGUUAAUCAAGAUUCAAGAUCAAGAAAACCACUAUAAAUAAGAAGAGAGCAUACCAAUGGCAGCCACAUCUCUUCAAUCAGCAACAAUGGCUGAAGAAGUGAAGCUUUUUGGCACGUGGGCAAGCCCCUUUAGCCGCAGAAUUGAAGUGGCCCUGAAGCUGAAAGGAGUUCAAUUUGAACAUAGCAGAGAACUUGUCCAGUAAGAGUCCUGCGCUUCUCACGUAUAAUCCAGUUCACAAGAAAAUCCCUGUGCUUGUACACAAUGGAAAGCCGGUUGCAGAGUCACUUGUCAUCCUGGAGUACAUUGAUGAGACCUGGAAACAUAAUCCCAUCUUGCCUACAGACCCUUAUGAGAAGGCCAUGGCACGGUUCUGGGCUAAG